GUGAAACGGCAUCUGAAAUGAGAGGGCGGGACUUGAUUUCAUCCUUCGGAAAUUGAUUGGAAGUUGGCCGUUGCUAACGAAAUGGAGGCAGAUAUGAAUUACUAACUCCGAGCAUUCACGUUACUGUAAGAGCUUUAUUGAGGAUGACGAGGACGGUUAACGGCACUAAACAGCCAGAGAGACUGACUGACUGACUGACUGACUGAUGGUGUGUGUCCGUUGGCGCGGAGCGAGCAGUUAAAAGAGCGAGUGUUUUCGGUUCAUUCCUAUGGAAGUUGAGCUGCGUAUUUCAUGCCGACUUUAAAUGACAUAGAAUGAAGGGUCCCCCCCACCCCCCGCUCUGGUUGUGGUUUGUUGUUCUUAAUGAAAACAAUGCGGAUGGAGGAGGUCUUAGGAUGUUUUAUACUGAAGAAGCAGGUCUGCAGAAAUACACAGAGCACAAUUAAUUUUUUGGGAUACACGUCUCUCCCCUUAAGUGGUCCAUACAGCAUGGAGAAAGCAGCACUCUCGUUUGAAGAGCGAGAGAAAGCACAGCCGACCUCGUCAAUAGCAAAUGUGCUUCUCAAAAUCGUAAUUUACUCAAUUAACAGUUACAAAACAUAAGACAAAUAAAAUAAGUCAAAUAAAUUAAGUAAUUAAAAUAAAAUAAAUAAAUAAUGCAAGUCACAAAAUACAUGUCACCAUUAUAUGGCAUAUGAAAUAAUAUAAAAAAAUGAAAAGUUUCCUCACCGCUUACUCGCAUCAGUGAAUGAAUUAAACGGGGAAUCACGAUUUUAUGGUCAGAAGCUACUUGACAAAUGAAAAUCACAAACAUUGACACAUGGUAAUAAAAUAAUUUGAUAAAUACAAUAUAUUAAAAUGUAAUAUUUUUAUUUCAAUCAAAUUAGUGUAACGGAGAUAUUUUUCACUGAGGGACUUUUAUUUUGAUGGGUUGCUCUGUCUCCGGUAUGUCCGCGGGAGAUGCAAAGACGUCUGGGAAGGAGAAGAAGAAAAAAAACCGUAAUGAUCAGACACGCAUGCAGACACGCUAUGAUUGCCGUGUGAGGAGGUGUCGAUUUUUCCGCCUGUUUUAAAAAAAGUAAGACAGUGUUAUACAUUCAGUUUACGUUUUGUGCACACUGAAAUUACCCUGUGAAGUCGGAGACGUUGUUGUGAAGCCGGAGACGUCGUUAUAGCAGAAGUUUGGUCAAGUGCGUCAUCGGAUGAAGAGUGGUGUUGGAGACUGGCCGAGAGCACGAGAGAGAGUUGCUGGAGCCGUGAGUUUCAAGAACACUGUUGUUUUAUUGCAUCGUUCGACUGGGCAUUUUGAGAUUUCUGCUGUUUUUCGAGUCACUCAUGAACUGUCUUACAGAGCGAGAGACACUGAUUUCUUCCUGCGAGUUACUUAAGUGCACUUGUUAGUGCGCGAGAAUGCGUUUUUGAAUUGCACUUAAUUUCUACGGAGUGAUUUCUUUUUGAGCAUUUUUUCCUUUUCCUUGAGUCUGAAUCUACAAGUCACUCAUGAACUGUCUUACAGAGCGAGAGACAUUGAUUUAUUCCUACGAGUCCCUUAAGUGCACUUGUUAGUGUGCGAGUGUUUCUGAACUGAGUGAUUCUUACAGAGUGAUUUAUUUUUUUUCCCUUUUUAUUUUCUAAGUAUUUUUGCAAUUUUGGAGAGACUGAGAUCAUUACGAUCAAGUUUUACUUCUGAAACCCCCGAGAAGCACUAUAAGCCAGACGCUGUUUAGUGAGUCGCGUGCACCCCGUGGCUGAGCGCUAUUUUGUUCCAGAGAGUUCGAGUUUUUUUGGGCCGUGCUGAAAUUUUUUUGUUUAUUACCCUGCCAUCCUUAAGACAUCUCCCUGUUCUAUCUCACUGGUCUCAUUGUUGCAAGUCAUCUCAUCUCAUCUCAUCUCAAGUCGUCUCAUCUCAUCUCAAGUCAUCUCAUCUCAUCUCAUCUCAAGUCAUCUCUUCUCAUCUCAAGUCUUCGUCGCUACAGACUGGCAAAUGUCCAUCACCUCUGGAGUUACAGGUGUCAUUGGGGUCCAUUCUCUAUGAUCUGACAUUGCUGCAGUGUUGGUGAUCAAAGCUGAUGAUGAAAUAAAAUGUAUGAUGAUUGUGAUCCAUUAUUUAUGCUGUCAAAAUCGCAUGACAUGAGUCGUCAUUGUAAUUCCAUGUAAUCACAUCAAAGGAGCCGAAUGAAUAGGCGGAGUUUCACUUUGGUGGUGUUGUGCAAUAUUCAGUUUUGUAUGAUAAAUCUUCUGAGCUAUUCAGAUAAAUAAGGACACAACAGAGCGAAUAACCUAUGAUAAUUUAGGCUGACAGUUUUUUUUACUCUUUGAUGUCUUUUUUAUUUCAUUUGUGAGGUUUUUAAUUUAAUUAGAAUAGUUUGAUUAGUUGUCAUUACAGGUUACUACAUACUGCAGCGUGUCAACAACAAUAAUACCUGAAAUAAACCACUACAAAUGUAUCUGUGGCCUAAUAAAAUGUAUAUAAGCUAGUCUGCUGAGAGUAUUCCGUGUCGUUGCUAAUUUCUUGAUUAUUUUGUAUAUAGCCAGAGUGUCUCAGCCUCCACAGCCCCAUCGGCUCAAGAUUCAUUUAUCAACACCAAACCUCACGGCUUCCUGUUUUCUCAUAUUAUACUGGAUAUCAUGUAGAAUUAUCAUUAAAGUCAAACAAUGCACA